UCUCCGUUGGUGAACCAGCGGAGGGAUCAUUACCGAGUUUACAACUCCAAAACCCAAUGUGAACCAUACCAAACUUUUGCCUCGGCGGGGUCACGCCCCGGGUGCGUUGCAGCCCCGGAACCAGGCGCCCGCCGGAGGGACCAACCAAACUCUUUUCUGUAGUCCCCUCGCGGACGUUAUUUCUUACAGCUCUGAGCAAAAAUUCAAGAUGAAUCAAAACUUUCAACAACGGAUCUCUUGGUUCUG
rnacentral:misc_RNA from 1 species